AUUGAACGCUGGCGGCAUGCCUUACACAUGCAAGUCGAACGGCAGCACGGGAGCAAUCCUGGUGGCGAGUGGCGAACGGGUGAGCAAUAUAUCGGAACGUGCCCAGUAGUGGGGGAUAACUGCUCGAAAGAGCAGCUAAUACCGCAUACGACCUGAGGGUGAAAGGGGGGGAUCGCAAGACCUCUCGCUAUUGGAGCGGCCGAUAUCGGAUUAGCUAGUUGGUGGGGUAAAGGCCUACCAAGGCAACGAUCUGUAGUUGGUCUGAGAGGACGACCAGCCACACUGGGACUGAGACACGGCCCAGACUCCUACGGGAGGCAGCAGUGGGGAAUUUUGGACAAUGGGCGCAAGCCUGAUCCAGCAAUGCCGCGUGCAGGAAGAAGGCCUUCGGGUUGUAAACUGCUUUUGUCAGGGAAGAAAUCCUCUAGGUUAAUACCCUUGGGGGGAUGACGGUACCUGAAGAAUAAGCACCGGCUAACUACGUGCCAGCAGCCGCCGUAAAAC
rnacentral:rRNA from 1 species